CCUACGGGAGGCAGCAGUGAGGAAUAUUGGUCAAUGGACGAGAGUCUGAACCAGCCAAGUAGCGUGAAGGAUGACUGCCCUAUGGGUUGUAAACUUCUUUUAUAUGGGAAUAAAAUGUUCCACGUGUGGGAUUUUGUAUGUACCAUAUGAAUAAGGAUCGGCUAACUCCGUGCCAGCAGCCGCGGUAAUACGGAGGAUCCGAGCGUUAUCCGGAUUUAUUGGGUUUAAAGGGAGCGUAGGUGGAUUGUUAAGUCAGUUGUGAAAGUUUGCGGCUCAACCGUAAAAUUGCAGUUGAAACUGGCAGUCUUGAGUACAGUAGAGGUGGGCUGAAUUCGUGGUGUAGCGGUGAAAUGCUUUGAUAUCACGAAGAACUCCGAUUGCGAAGGCAGUUCACUGGACUGCAACUGACACUGAGGCUCGAAAGUGUGGGUAUCAAACAGGAUUAGAUACCCCAGUAGUC
rnacentral:rRNA from 1 species